UUCUGUGCUUGGAUUUAUUUCUUUUUCUUACACACCUCGAUCAGGCAGGUAGAAAUUAACAGAAGCAUUGUGUGCAGCUCCUGCGCCCUAAAUCCCGGGCUUGGGCUCUCCCAGACCCGGGCCAGCCCCCACCUUUACCAGCUCCGGUCCGCACUUCUCCUCCAGGCUGGGUUUCCCGUCCGUGGAGGGGGUACAGAAAUCUCUCCCCAGGGUCCUUCCAGGGUCUGGGAAAGGACCCAGCCUUUGAGCUCCCUGGGCCUCCCCUCCCUGCACCUGCAGGUGUGCAGCUGGGCUCCGCCUAGGGACCCAGUAAGCACGAGUUCGCGCCCUCCUCGUCCCAACCGCCAGACUUUCACCUUGACACGAGCCCCCCUACGGCCCCGGGCAGAGCUCGUGCAAAGGCCCUGUGGCCCCCAGGCCAGGCCGAGCCCCCCGGGCCGCCGGGCGCACCUCCGGGCGGGGGAACCUCCCUCGCGGCCGCACAACCCGGGCCCUAGAGCCCCCGCGGGGUCCCCGGCUCCCGGCCAGGCCACCAGCCGGGUCACCUGUCCCCUGCUGCGGCCCGCGGCCCCCGGGACACGUUUAAGAGCAAGUCUGGUUCUGGGAAAACACCGAGUGCAGAGCCGCGAGCAGCCCGGACCAAGGGAGGCCGCGGAGGGAGCCCUCGAGCGACCGCCCCGGGACACGGGGACUGCAGGGCCCGAGGCCUCCUUCCAGAGAGGCAACCCCUCACCUGCGACAGCCUGCCUGGGCCUGCGGGGCCUGCUGCCCCGGGAUGGGGGCGGCCCGGCUCGGGGGGAGGACCCCGGCCCGAGAUCCAGGUCCCCGAGAUCCAGGUCCCCGAGAUCCAGGUCCCCGAGAUCCAGGGUCCCCGAGAUCCAGGUCCCUGCGAUCCAGGGUCCCCGAGAUCCAGAGUCCCCGAGAUCCAGAGUCCCCGCGAUCCAGGUCCCCGAGAUCCAGGGUCCCCGCGAUCCAGAGUCCCCGAGAUCCAGGUCCCUGCGAUCCAGGGACCUCGAGAUCCAGGGUCCCCGAGAUCCAGAGUCCCCGAGAUCCAGGGUCCCCAUGAUCCAGGGUCCCCGCGAUCCAGGUCCCCGAGAUCCAGGUCCCCGCAAUCCAGGUCCCCGAGAUCCAGGUCCCCGAGAUCCAGAGUCCCCGAGAUCCAGGUCCCUGCGAUCCAGGGUCCCCGCGAUCCAGGGUCCCCACGAUCCAGGGUCCCCGAGAUCCAGGGUCCCUGAGAUCCAGAGUCCCCGAGAU
rnacentral:lncRNA from 1 species